CUUAAGGGGAAGCGAGACUUCCGAUUUGUAGGGGAACGCAGCGGCGAUUGGUUAGAGUCCCGCCCACUUGUUAAGCGUCGCGAGCCACUAUUCUCGGCUCUGAUUGGCCAGAGAACUCGCGCCGCUUUUGAAUCCCCACCCUGCGGACCCCGCGCGCCUCGCCUUCUCCCUCUGGUUGGCGAGCGCCUUUCUGCGCCUUCAGGCAUUUUUGCUGAGGCUUUUGUCUGCGCAUGUGCGGCAGUGAGAUCUCAGCCAGGCCAGAAAAAGCUGCCAUGCCAAAAGCGGCCGACACUAACUCCACGCGGUGCUCCUGGAAACGUCGGGCUCCCAGCUCCCAUGAGGCAGAAAACGGGCAUCUAUUCUUUUAACAUACCAAAUAUUUGAGCACUUACCACGCGUCGGGCACUGAUUUACAGCACAGAGUGAAACUAAGUCCCUGCCCUUGCCUUGCUGAGCUUGCAUUCCAUCUUGGAAGGAGGAACAGACAAUAAUUAGCAAAAGUACAAUGACUGAUGAAGUUUCGCUCUUGUUGCCCAGGCUGGAGUGCAGUGGCAUGAUCUCACUGCAACCUCCACCUCCUGGGUUCAAGUAAUUCUCCUGCCUCAGCCUCCCGAGUAGCUGUGAUUACAGGCACCCAUCACCAUGCCCAGAGGUAUACUGCGUUGAUCACGACCUUCACUCUUUCGGCCUGCAACACCUCCCCUCUUCCUGGGUCCAGGCCCCAGACCCCGCCACGCCUCCUCUUAACCUACAUGAUCAGGGCCAGGCAGAGGAAAAGAAGAGCCGUGAUGCCGAUUCCCAGAAACGCUCCGUUGGAGAAUGCCGUUGAGAUGAGUCCCUUCUUAUCUGCACACGGAGAGGGCAAGGAAACCCUGCCACACCCCGGCCCAGGUGUUAGGACUUCCCAUUGUGUUUUCCUGUCUACAUACAGAUGCCACGGGUCUGCUGUGUCCCUCCAAGCUCCUGCUCCAACCACAGGACCCUACUCUUUGCCCCAGUCAGCUUCUCCUCCAAGAACCUUGGCAUCCAGGCGGCCCCCUAACCUGGCAGCUGCAGGAUGGAUCCACUCUG
rnacentral:lncRNA from 1 species